rnacentral:rRNA from 1 species
GUAGGGAAUAUUGGGCAAUGGUCGGAAGACUGACCCAGCCAUGCCGCGUGCAGGAAGACGGCCCUCUGGGUUGUAAACUGCUUUUAUCUGGGAAGAAAAAGGCCAUGCGUGGCAAAUUGCCGGUACCAGAUGAAUAAGCACCGGCUAACUCCGUGCCAGCAGCCGCGGUAUACGGAGGGUGCGAGCGUUGUCCGGAUUUAUUGGGUUUAAAGGGUGCGUAGGCGGCUGAUUAAGUCAGCGGUGAAAGACUUCGGCUUAACCGGAGCAGUGCCGUUGAUACUGGUUGGCUUGAGUGUCGGAGGGGUACAUGGAAUUGAUGGUGUAGCGGUGAAAUGCAUAGAUACCAUCAGGAACACCGAUAGCGAAGGCAUUGUACUGGCCGACAACUGACGCUGAUGCACGAAAGUGUGGGGAUCGAACAGGAUUAGAUACCCUGGUAGUCC